ensembl:lncRNA
CUUUUCUCCAUGAAAGCAAGGAGGACUUUGGGAAUUACAACUUUAGGUUUUCUGCCUCUUGUUUUCAGAAAGAGCUUCUUUAUUGUGAAAUAUUGCACUACCAUCAGAGGUUGGAGUGGCCGUAGCCAUGGAAAGAACCCAAAAGCAUGGAAAGAACCAAAAAGCACUGUGCGUUGUUUUCAUCGAAGUCACGCGGCAAUUUCAUUAAAUCAAAAGAAAUAACUCAAAGGAAGAAGAGAUGGAAUUGCCAGGUUGCCCACUUGUGUGCUGUGACAUCCCCCAGCCUGUUCCAUGAAGCCCAUACAACACGACUUCACCAGAGCCCAGGGAAGGAAACACGGCACUUGAGAUGUGGCAUAAGCACUGGCCAGGGUGGCUUGGGCUGUUCCUCUGCAUGCUUCACAGCUGCAGGAGUGCACAGAAGAGUUCUGCUUCAGGACUUUUCAGUGAAUUGACAUCUUCGUAGCUGCAGAACUGUUAUGGCCCUCCAAGGUGGCUCUCCAGUAAAAAGUAAACCAAUAUCUUCUGUUCUUUCUCUUUAUUUGUUC